rnacentral:rRNA from 1 species
AGCGAACGCGGUGAACUGAAACAUCUAAGUAACCGCAGGAAAAGAAAUCAACCGAGAUUCCCAAAGUAGUGGCGAGCGAAAUGGGAUGAGCCUUGCACUCUUUAUUUGUAUUGUUAGCCGAACGCUCUGGAAAGUGCGGCCAUAGCGGGUGAUAGCCCCGUAGGCGAAAACAGUAUGAAAGAACUAGGUGUGCGACAAGUAGGGCGGGACACGUGAAAUCCUGUCUGAAGAUGGGGGGACCAUCCUCCAAGGCUAAAUACUCGUGAUCGACCGAUAGUGAACCAGUACCGUGAGGGAAAGGUGAAAAGAACCCCGGGAGGGGAGUGAAAUAGAUCCUGAAACCGCAUGCAUACAAACAGUCGGAGCCUCGAAAGGGGUGACGGCGUACCUUUUGUAUAAUGGGUCAGCGACUUACGUUCAGUAGCAAGCUUAACCGUAUAGGGCAGGCGUAGCGAAAGCGAGUCCGAAUAGGGCGUUCAGUUGCUGGGCGUAGACCCGAAACCAAGUGAUCUAUCCAUGGCCAGGAUGAAGGUGCGGUAACACGUACUGGAGGUCCGAACCCACUAACGUUGAAAAGUUAGGGGAUGAGCUGUGGAUAGGGGUGAAAGGCUAAACAAACUUGGAAAUAGCUGGUUCUCUCCGAAAACUAUUUAGGUAGUGCCUCGUGUCUCACCUUCGGGGGUAGAGCACUGUCAUGGUUGGGGGGUCCAUUGCGGAUUACCCCGCCAUAGCAAACUCCGAAUACCGAAGAGUGCAAUCACGGGAGACAGACAUCGGGUGCUAACGUCCGGUGUCAAGAGGGAAACAACCCAGACCGCCAGCUAAGGUCCCCAAAUAUAGCUAAGUGGGAAACGAAGUGGGAAGGCUAAAACAGUCAGGAGGUUGGCUUAGAAGCAGCCACCCUUUAAAGAAAGCGUAAUAGCUCACUGAUCGAGUCGUCCUGCGCGGAAGAUGUAACGGGGCUAAGCUAUAUACCGAAGCUGCGGAUGCACAUUUAUGUGCAUGGUAGGAGAGCGUUCUGUAAGCCUGCGAAGGUGUCUCGGAAGGGAUGCUGGAGGUAUCAGAAGUGCGAAUGCUGACAUGAGUAGCGAUAAAGGGGGUGAAAGGCCCCCUCGCCGUAAGCCCAAGGUUUCCUACGCAACGUUCAUCGGCGUAGGGUGAGUCGGCCCCUAAGGCGAGGCAGAAAUGCGUAGCUGAUGGGAAGCAGGUCAAUAUUCCUGCACCAUUGUUAGAUGCGAUGGGGGGACGGAUCGCGGAAGGUUGUCCGGGUGUUGGAAGUCCCGGUCGCUGCAUUGGAGAAGGCGCUUAGGCAAAUCCGGGCGCGGAAUUCAAGGGUGUGGCGCGAGCUCCUUAGGGAGCGAAGCAAUUGGAAGUGGUUCCAAGAAAAGCCUCUAAGCUUCAGUCUAAUGAUGACCGUACCGCAAACCGACACAGGUGGGCGAGAUGAGUAUUCUAAGGCGCUUGAGAGAACUCGGGAGAAGGAACUCGGCAAAUUGGUACCGUAACUUCGGGAUAAGGUACGCCCUUGUAGCUUGAUGCCCCUGCGGGCAAAGGGUGAAGGGGUUGCAAUAAACUGGUGGCUGCGACUGUUUAAUAAAAACACAGCACUCUGCAAACACGAAAGUGGACGUAUAGGGUGUGACGCCUGCCCGGUGCCGGAAGAUUAAAUGAUGGGGUGCAAGCUCUUGAUUGAAGUCCCGGUAAACGGCGGCCGUAACUAUAACGGUCCUAAGGUAGCGAAAUUCCUUGUCGGGUAAGUUCCGACCUGCACGAAUGGCGUAACGAUGGCCACACUGUCUCCUCCCGAGACUCAGCGAAGUUGAAGUGUUUGUGAUGAUGCAAUCUACCCGCGGCUAGACGGAAAGACCCCAUGAACCUUUACUGUAGCUUUGCAUUGGACUUUGAACCGAUCUGUGUAGGAUAGGUGGGAGGCUAUGAAACCGGAACGCUAGUUUCGGUGGAGCCGUCCUUGAAAUACCACCCUGGUUUGUUUGAGGUUCUAACCUUGGCCCGUGAUCCGGGUCGGGGACAGUGCAUGGUAGGCAGUUUGACUGGGGCGGUCUCCUCCCAAAGCGUAACGGAGGAGUACGAAGGUACGCUAGGUACGGUCGGAAAUCGUGCUGAUAGUGCAAUGGCAUAAGCGUGCUUAACUGCGAGACCGACAAGUCGAGCAGGUGCGAAAGCAGGUCAUAGUGAUCCGGUGGUUCUGUAUGGAAGGGCCAUCGCUCAACGGAUAAAAGGUACUCUGGGGAUAACAGGCUGAUACCGCCCAAGAGUUCAUAUCGACGGCGGUGUUUGGCACCUCGAUGUCGGCUCAUCUCAUCCUGGGGCUGUAGCCGGUCCCAAGGGUAUGGCUGUUCGCCAUUUAAAGAGGUACGUGAGCUGGGUUUAAAACGUCGUGAGACAGUUUGGUCCCUAUCUGCCGUGGGCGUUGGAUAUUUGAAGGGGGCUGCUCCUAGUACGAGAGGACCGGAGUGGACGAACCUCUGGUGUACCGGUUGUCACGCCAGUGGCAUCGCCGGGUAGCUAUGUUCGGAAGAGAUAACCGCUGAAAGCAUCUAAGCGGGAAACUCGCCUUAAGAUGAGAUAUCCCUGGGGACUAGAUCCCCUUGAAGGGUCGUUCGAGACCAGGACGUUGAUAGGUCAGGUGUGUAAGCGCAGUAAUGCGUUCAGCUAACUGAUACUAAUUGCCCGUAAGGCUUGAUCC